UACGUAGGGGGCAAGCGUUGUCCGGAAUUAUUGGGCGUAAAGAGCGCGUAGGCGGUCCGAUAAGUCGGCUGUGAAAGUCAUGGGCUCAACCCAUGAAAGCCGGCCGAUACUGUCGGACUAGAGUCCGGAAGAGGCGAGUGGAAUUCCCGGUGUAGCGGUGAAAUGCGCAGAUAUCGGGAGGAACACCAAUGGCGAAGGCAGCUCGCUGGGACGGUACUGACGCUGAGGCGCGAAAGCGUGGGGAGCAAACGGG
rnacentral:rRNA from 1 species